rnacentral:rRNA from 1 species
UACAGAGGGGGCAAGCGUUGUUCGGAAUUACUGGGCGUAAAGGGCGCGUAGGCGGCCUUCUAAGUCGAACGUGAAAUCCCUGGGCUCAACCCGGGAACUGCGUCCGAUACUGGGAGGCUUGAAUCCGGGAGAGGGAUGUGGAAUUCCAGGUGUAGCGGUGAAAUGCGUAGAUAUCCGGAGGAACACCGGUGGCGAAGGCGACAUCCUGGACCGGUAUUGACGCUGAGGCGCGAAAGCCAGGGGAGCAAACGGG